AGUAAAAUGCCACGACGUGGAUAUGCAUAAUAGAAUGCAAUUAAUAUAUACGCCUAAUACACAAUCAAAUAAUAAUACACUUGCAAUAGCACAUUGAAUAAUAUUUUCGAUUUUAUAAAAGAGAUUAUAAUAACAUGUCUAUUAAUAAUAAUUAUGUUUACGCAAUUUAUAAUUAAAAUGUACUGUGUAUGCACACUUUUUCACGUGACCGUAAAAAACAACUAAAAAUACGAACCGCUUUGUUUAUCGUGUAUACGCUUCUGUUGGCGUGGAUGUGGUGAAUGAAGUGCAGAGGUGCGCGUU